GGUGCUUGCACCUGAUUGAUUUUGGUCGCCAACGAGUGGCGGACGGGUGAGUAACACGUAGGUAACCUGCCCAGAAGCGGGGGACAACAUUUGGAAACAGAUGCUAAUACCGCAUAACAACGUUGUUCGCAUGAACAACGCUUAAAAGAUGGCUUCUCGCUAUCACUUCUGGAUGGACCUGCGGUGCAUUAGCUUGUUGGUGGGGUAACGGCCUACCAAGGCGAUGAUGCAUAGCCGAGUUGAGAGACUGAUCGGCCACAAUGGGACUGAGACACGGCCCAUACUCCUACGGGAGGCAGCAGUAGGGAAUCUUCCACAAUGGGCGCAAGCCUGAUGGAGCAACACCGCGUGAGUGAAGAAGGGUUUCGGCUCGUAAAGCUCUGUUGUUAAAGAAGAACACGUAUGAGAGUAACUGUUCAUACGUUGACGGUAUUUAACCAGAAAGUCACGGCUAACUACGUGCCAGCAGCCGCGGUAAUACGUAGGUGGCAAGCGUUAUCCGGAUUUAUUGGGCGUAAAGAGAGUGCAGGCGGUUUUCUAAGUCUGAUGUGAAAGCCUUCGGCUUAACCGGAGAAGUGCAUCGGAAACUGGAUAACUUGAGUGCAGAAGAGGGUAGUGGAACUCCAUGUGUAGCGGUGGAAUGCGUAGAUAUAUGGAAGAACACCAGUGGCGAAGGCGGCUACCUGGUCUGCAACUGACGCUGAGACUCGAAAGCAUGGGUAGCGAACAGGAUUAGAUACCCUGGUAGUCCAUGCCGUAAACGAUGAGUGCUAGGUGUUGGAGGGUUUCCGCCCUUCAGUGCCGGAGCUAACGCAUUAAGCACUCCGCCUGGGGAGUACGACCGCAAGGUUGAAACUCAAAGGAAUUGACGGGGGCCCGCACAAGCGGUGGAGCAUGUGGUUUAAUUCGAAGCUACGCGAAGAACCUUACCAGGUCUUGACAUCUUGCGCCAACCCUAGAGAUAGGGCGUUUCCUUCGGGAACGCAAUGACAGGUGGUGCAUGGUCGUCGUCAGCUCGUGUCGUGAGAUGUUGGGUUAAGUCCCGCAACGAGCGCAACCCUUGUUACUAGUUGCCAGCAUUAAGUUGGG
rnacentral:rRNA from 2 species